rnacentral:rRNA from 1 species
GACGAACGCUGGCGGCGUGCUUAACACAUGCAAGUCGAACGGAAAGGCCCUGCUUGCAGGGUACUCGAGUGGCGAACGGGUGAGUAACACGUGGGUGAUCUGCCCUGCACUUCGGGAUGAGCCUGGGAAACUGGGUCUAAUACCGGAUAGGAGCCAUUUUUAGUGUGAUGGUUGGAAAGUUUUUUUCGGUGUAGGAUGAGCUCGCGGCCUAUCAGCUUGUUGGUGGGGUAAUGGCCUACCAAGGCGGCGACGGGUAGCCGGCCUGAGAGGGUGGACGGCCACAUUGGGACUGAGAUACGGCCCAGACUCCUACGGGAGGCAGCAGUGGGGAAUAUUGCACAAUGGGCGCAAGCCUGAUGCAGCGACGCCGCGUGGGGGAUGACGGCCUUCGGGUUGUAAACUCCUUUCGCUAGGGACGAAGCUUUUUGUGACGGUACCUAGAUAAGAAGCACCGGCUAACUACGUG